rnacentral:rRNA from 1 species
CAGCCGCCGCGGUAAUACCGGCGGCCCGAGUGGCGGUCACUAUUAUUGGGCUUAAAGCGUCCGUAGCCGGGUUGGGAAGGCCUCCGGGAAAUCUGGCCGCUUAACGGUCAGAAUGCCGGAGGAUACUCCCAGCCUAGGGAGCGGGAGAGGCCGAGGGGAUUCCCGGGGUAGGGGUGAAAUCCUAUAAUCCCGGGGGGACCACCUGUGGCGAAGGCGCUCGGCUGGAACGCGUCCGACGGUGAGGGACGAAGGCCAGGGGAGCAAACCGGAUUAGAUACCCGGGUAGUCCUGGCUGUAAACGAUGCGGACUUUGUGUCGGACAAGCUAUGAGCUUGUCCGGUGCCGGAGGGAAACCGUUAAGUCCGCCGCCUGGGGAGUACGGCCGCAAGGCUGAAACUUAAAGGAAUUGGCGGG